rnacentral:rRNA from 1 species
GACAGAGGAUGCAAGCGUUAUCCGGAAUUACUGGGCGUAAAGCGUGCGUAGGUGGUUUGUUAAGUCUGUUGUGAAAGCCCCGGGCUCAACCUGGGAAUGGCAAUGGAUACUGGCAAGCUAGAGUGCGGUAGAGGGUAGUGGAAUUCCCGGUGUAGCGGUGAAAUGCGUAGAGAUCGGGAGGAACACCAGUGGCGAAGGCGGCUACCUGGACCAGCACUGACACUGAGGCACGAAAGCGUGGGGAGCAAACAGG